rnacentral:rRNA from 1 species
GAUGAACGCUGGCGGCGUGCCUAAUACAUGCAAGUCGAGCGAACGGACGCGAAGCUUGCUUUUUUGAUGUUAGCGGCGCACGGGAGAGUAACAUGUGGAUCAUCUACCUAUAAUACUGGUAUAAUCUCGGGAAACCGGCGCUUAUAGCGGAGAAUCUUUUGAACCGUAUUGUUCAAUAGUGAAAGACGGUGUUGCUGUCACUUAUAGAUGGAUACGCGCUGCAUUAUCUAGUUGGUGAGGUCACGGCGUAUCAAGGCGACGAUGCAUAGCCGAGCUGAGAGGGUGAUCGGCCAGCCUGGGAGUGAGACACGGUACAGACUCCCAGGGGAGGCAGCAGUAGGGAAUCUUCCGCAAUGGGCGGGGGCCUGUCGGAGCAGCGCCGCGGCAGUGAUGAGGAUCUUCGGAUCGUAAAACUCUGUUAUUAGGGAAGAACAUGUGUGUAAGUAUCUGUGCGCAUCUUGACGGUACCUGGGCAGAGAGGCACGGCUUACUAAGUG